rnacentral:rRNA from 1 species
CACGUAGGGAGCAAGCGUUGUCCGGAAUUAUUGGGCGUAAAGAGCUCGUAGGCGGACUGUCACGUCUGCUGUGAAAAGCUGGGGCUUAACCCUGGCCUUGCAGUGGAUACGGGCAGACUAGAGGUAGGUAGGGGAGAAUGGAAUUCCCGGUGUAGCGGUGAAAUGCGCAGAUAUCGGGAGGAACACCGGUAGCGAAGGCGGUUCUCUGGGCCUUACCUGACGCUGAGGAGCGAAAGCGUGGGGAGCGAACAGG